GACGAACGCUGGCGGCGUGCUUAACGCAUGCAAGUCGAACGAUGACGCCCGAGCUUGCUCGGUCUGAUUAGUGGCGAACGGGUGAGUAACACGUGAGCAACCUGCCCUUCACUCUGGGAUAACCUCGGGAAAUCGGGGCUAAUACCGGAUAUGAGCUCCUGUCGCAUGGCGGGUGUUGGAAAGUUUUUCGGUGAAGGAUGGGCUCGCGGCCUAUCAGUUUGUUGGUGAGGUAGUGGCUCACCAAGGCGAUGACGGGUAGCCGGCCUGAGAGGGCGACCGGCCACACUGGGACUGAGACACGGCCCAGACUCCUACGGGAGGCAGCAGUGGGGAAUAUUGCACAAUGGGCGAAAGCCUGAUGCAGCGACGCCGCGUGAGGGAUGACGGCCUUCGGGUUGUAAACCUCUUUCAGCAGGGAAGAAGCGAAAGUGACGGUACCUGCAGAAGAAGCGCCGGCUAACUACGUG
rnacentral:rRNA from 1 species